UUAAGCGUGCUUGGGCGAGAGUAGUACUAGGAUGGGUGACCUCCUGGGAAGUCCUCGUGUUGCAUUCC
rfam:Triticum aestivum genome assembly, contig: Triticum_aestivum_CS42_TGACv1_scaffold_056034_1BS